AGUACGUGAAACUGUGUGGUGGUAAACGGAGGGGUUCUCGAAGUUUCUGUAGGGUACUCAGCCUUGGAGUUGGGCUGUCUGGUGGUAUCGGAUCAGCAAUGACCGUGCCGCUAGUCAGGCUUGGCUCACGGGUGCAUUUCCCCUGCAGUUUACGGCAGGAACUGUUUAGCGCAGACCUAAGGCUCUGGGUGAAGUUGGAGGCCUAGCUUUCAGCCCUGGAUGUUCUGGCUUUGCACUAGACAGGUACUUGAGGAGACUCGUAUAGCGAGCAAUGCUCUGUUGCGGUUUCCAUCUCUCUGCCGAGUAGGUCGGUGGCCCCUCCGACCCGUCUUGAAACACGGAC
rnacentral:rRNA from 1 species